rnacentral:rRNA from 1 species
UGCCAGCAGCCCCGGUAAUACGGACGGGGUUAGCGUUGUUCGGAAUUACUGGGCGUAAAGCGCGCGUAGGCGGACUAUUAAGUGAGGGGUGAAAUCCCAGGGCUCAACCCUGGAACGGCCUCUCAUACUGGUAGUCUUGAGUUCGAGAGAGGUGAGUGGAAUUCCGAGUGUAGAGGUGAAAUUCGUAGAUAUUUGGAGGAACACCAGUGGCGAAGGCGGCUCACUGGCUCGAUACUGACGCUGAGGUACGAAAGUGUGGGGAGCAAACAGGAUUAGAUA